CAACGGCUGAAAAAGCCUGUGAUUGGCUGCUCUGGCUGGGAGCACAGCGCCAGAGUGUGGUCCCAGUUGGAGUGUUCGAGCCAGGCUCUUUGCAGACGUGUUCGAUUGCUAACGCUGGAGUUUUAAUUUUCAAAUGUCACUGUCUUUUGAGUUCACAGCCCCCCCCCUUUUGCAGUGUGAAUCAUGGAAGUGUAAAAAAUACGGGUAGAAGUUGUCAGCGGAAUUCGGGAAAAGUCGCCGGCAAUUUUUGAAACAAGCGAACUUCCACUUAGCAAUAGAAUGUGCUCGGUCAGUCAAGAGCAAAAACCUACAGUAUUCUCCAGAGUGCCUGUUUAACUUUGAUGGAGGAAAUGUCUUCAGAAGCCAAACUACUCUACAGUACACAUACAUGUAAUAUACAGUGUACAGACAAGUCCUCUUGAGACUGAAAGCAGUAAAAUUUGCCACCACCAAGUAAUAAUCCAAAAUGAAAUAGUUCCAAUGUUGAGGUCUCUUGUUUUCUUCUGCUGUUUCCUUCAUUUGUGGAAUGAAAGAUUGGAUAGUGUUUGAAAUCAGAGCCAAGGAUGCUUGGUGAAAUUAAAGGCUGUGUUAUUUUAAAGCAAAUUCCCUGAGAUGAGUUAAUCAAUAUGGAAUGACAGCCAUUAUGACUUUGCAGCAGGACUCUGGUAAAGCAGUAUUACUAUGUGCCCACAUAUCCAGAAGCUGAGAAAGUUCUGAGAUGGAAGAAAACAAA
rnacentral:lncRNA from 1 species